AGGAAUUUAGUUAAUUUAUAACAUUGGUCUGUCGGUUCGAAAUAGUGGCACUGAACGCCACAAUUCCUU
rnacentral:tRNA from 1 species